rnacentral:rRNA from 1 species
AGAGUUUGAUUCUGGCUCAGGACGAACGCUGGCGGCGUGCUUAACACAUGCAAGUCGAACGAUGAAGCCUAGCUUGCUAGGUGGAUUAGUGGCGAACGGGUGAGUAAUACGUGAGUAACCUACCUUUAACUCUGGGAUAAGCCUGGGAAACUGGGUCUAAUACCGGAUACGACCAAUCUCCGCAUGGGGUGUUGGUGGAAAGCGUUAUGUAGUGGUUAUAGAUGGGCUCACGGCCUAUCAGCUUGUUGGUGAGGUAACGGCUCACCAAGGCGACGACGGGUAGCCGGCCUGAGAGGGUGACCGGCCACACUGGGACUGAGACACGGCCCAGACUCCUACGGGAGGCAGCAGUGGGGAAUAUUGCACAAUGGGCGCAAGCCUGAUGCAGCGACGCCGCGUGAGGGAUGACGGCCUUCGGGUUGUAAACCUCUGUUAGCAGGGAAGAAGAGAAAUUGACGGUACCUGCAGAGAAAGCGCCGGCUAACUACGUGCCAGCAGCCGCGGUAAUACGUAGGGCGCGAGCGUUGUCCGGAAUUAUUGGGCGUAAAGAGCUCGUAGGCGGCUGGUCGCGUCUGUCGUGAAAUCCUCUGGCUUAACUGGGGGCUUGCGGUGGGUACGGGCCGGCUUGAGUGCGGUAGGGGAGACUGGAACUCCUGGUGUAGCGGUGGAAUGCGCAGAUAUCAGGAAGAACACCGAUGGCGAAGGCAGGUCUCUGGGCUGUAACUGACGCUGAGAAGCGAAAGCAUGGGGAGCGAACAGGAUUAGAUACCCUGGUAGUCCAUGCCGUAAACGUUGGGCACUAGGUGUGGGGGACAUUCCACGUUUUCCGCGCCGUAGCUAACGCAUUAAGUGCCCCGCCUGGGGAGUACGGCCGCAAGGCUAAAACUCAAAGGAAUUGACGGGGGCCC